rnacentral:tmRNA from 1 species
CCACUUCCCAUUAAGCCAGAGAUCGCUAUAUAGGGGGUGCCGGUUUCGACCGGAUAUGGCGAUAAAUGGCGUUAUGUAAUAGAUACAACGGACCCGGGGGCAGUACCCGGCGGCUCCACCACCAGACGCGGUUGCGAGAGCGCAUCUGAUGAAGGGGCCGAACUAGGAUCGACGUGUAUUGAAAGAUAUCGUUUUUGCCCGGGCUGAGUAACCCGUUCAAGGCUCAAAACCCACAAGUGCCAAUGAUAAUGAAGCACUCGCAAUCGCUGCGUAAUCUGACGGCCUAACGGCCUGAUCUUACAAAGCUAAAGCGCGGUUGGACCCACCGGGCAACAGAAGGGACUCCG